rnacentral:rRNA from 1 species
GACGAACGCUGGCGGCGUGCUUAACACAUGCAAGUCGAACGGAAAGGCCCUGCUUUUGUGGGGUGCUCGAGUGGCGAACGGGUGAGUAACACGUGAGUAACCUGCCCUUGACUUUGGGAUAACUUCAGGAAACUGGGGCUAAUACCGGAUAGGAGCUCCUGCUGCAUGGUGGGGGUUGGAAAGUUUCGGCGGUUGGGGAUGGACUCGCGGCUUAUCAGCUUGUUGGUGGGGUAGUGGCUUACCAAGGCUUUGACGGGUAGCCGGCCUGAGAGGGUGACCGGCGACCAUGGGACUGAGAUACGGCCCAGACGCCUACGGGAGGCAGCAGUGGGGAAUAUUGCACAAUGGGAGGAAGCCUGAUGAAGCAGCGCCGCGUGUGGGAUGACGGCCUUCGGGGUGUAAAACGCUUUCGCCUGUGACGAAGCGUGAGUGACGGUAAUGGGUGAAGAAGCACCGGCUAACUACGUG